AACAUUUCUAAUUCCACUCAAAAACGCACCGCACCGCACUCACUUCCUCACUCUCUUAAAAUCAUCCUCAUCCUUUUCUUCUUCAGAUCUCUUUCUCUUUCUCUUUUUCAACAAUUCUCAAUUUUCAUCACUACCGUUAAUCAUUUAUUUCCCAAUGGCAUCUAACAAUCACCGCCGUUCAAUCCCUGACAUCAACGGCUCUCACCCCACUCCCAAAAAACCUAAACUCUCUUCACCUUCAUCCUCCGCCAUAACCGUUUCCGAAAUUGAAUCUGAAUUCUCUCACCAUGACGCCGCCGUCGCUCGCAUCAACAACGGCAGUUUCGGUUCUUGUCCGUCCUCCGUCAUCUCCGCUCAACAGAAAUGGCAGCUCAAAUACCUCCGUCAGCCUGACCACUUCUACUUCAACCACCUCAAACCGGCAAUCGACACUUCACGUUCUAUUAUCAAAGACCUAGUCAACGCUCAACAUCUCGAUGAAAUCUCUAUUGUCGAUAACGCUACCACUGCUGCUGCUAUUGUUCUUCAACACACCGCUUGGUGUUUCCGUGAAGGGAAGUUCGACAAAGGUGACAUUGUUGUUAUGCUUCAUUACGCUUACGGUGCUGUUAAGAAAUCUAUGGAGGCUUAUGUCACUCGUGCUGGUGGAAAAGUCAUUGAAGUUCCUCUCCCUUUUCCGGUGAGUUCUAAUGAAGAGAUUGUUACUGAGUUUAGAAAGGCUUUGGAGAUAGGAAAAACGGAUGGUAGAAAGGUUAGGUUAGCUGUCAUUGAUCAUGUGACUUCUAUGCCUUGUGUUGUGAUUCCUGUUAAGGAGUUGAUUCAGAUUUGUAGAGAGGAAGGUGUGGAACAGGUUUUUGUUGAUGCUGCUCAUUCUAUUGGGUGUACUGAUGUUGACAUGCAGGAGAUUGGUGCUGAUUAUUACACUAGUAAUUUGCACAAGUGGUUCUUUUGUCCACCUUCGAUUGCGUUUUUGUACUCGAGAAAAAACACUAAAACUACUGGUGGUGGUGGUGGUUUGCAUCAUCCUGUGGUGUCUCAUGAGUAUGGAAAUGGGUUGGCGGUGGAAAGUGCUUGGAUUGGGACAAGGGAUUAUAGUUCUCAAUUGGUGGUCCCUGAUGUUUUGGAAUUUGUGAACAGGUUUGAAGGUGGUGUUGAAGGGAUUAAGAAGAGGAAUCAUGAAGCUGUUGUUGAGAUGGGAGAGAUGCUGGUUAAGGCUUGGGGAACUCAUCUUGGGAGUCCUUCACAUAUGUGUGCUAGUAUGAUUAUGGUUGGUUUGCCUACUUGUUUGGGGAUUCAUAGUGAUUCCGAUGCUCUGAAGUUAAGGACACAUUUGAGGGAUGUUUUUGGAGUUGAAGUUCCUAUAUACUAUAGACCACCUAGAGAUGGAGAAGUGGAGCCUGUAACGGGGUAUGCUCGGAUUUCUCAUCAUGUUUACAAUAAAGUCCAGGAUUAUUACAAGUUUAGGGAUGCUGUUAACCAACUUGUGGAUAAUGGGUUUGAUUGUACUCUUCUUUCCAACUGAAGAGCGAUAUCGUAUAGCGGUGUCAUGGCCACUAUGGCGGAUAUACAUGGCGGUUUUUGGGCUCCCGCAAUGCUCAGAAGUGUCUUUGUCGGCUUUCUGAUGAAUAAAAGCAAUGGUUGUUGUAAUUGCUGCUAGCUUGCUUGCAAUGUUUGCUAGUUACGAUGGUUUUGGUACCAUGAACUGCAUGUUUUGCAGGUAAACUUCAGCAAUUACCCAUGUUAUCUUUGCUGAGUAGAAUCCCUUAGGGAGUGAGCAACUUCAAUAGUGAGAUCUAUGGAUUUAUCCUUGUAAAUAUAAAUGUGAUUCUCUCAUGGUGUAAUGAUAUUCACUCUCAUUGUGCCGAGUUGCCAACUGCUUCUUCAGGUUUAUAACAAAGUUCUACCAUAAAAUUGAAGUUUGCCA